rnacentral:rRNA from 1 species
GCCUUCGUAAGGAGGAGGAAGGUGUGGACGACGUCAAGUCAUCAUGGCCCUUAUGCCCAGGGCGACACACGUGCUACAAUGGCAUAUACAAUGAGACGCAAUACCGCGAGGUGGAGCAAAUCUAUAAAAUAUGUCCCAGUUCGGAUUGUUCUCUGCAACUCGAGAGCAUGAAGCCGGAAUCGCUAGUAAUCGUAGAUCAGCCAUGCUACGGUGAAUACGUUCCCGGGUCUUGUACUCACCGCCCGUCACACCAUGGGAGUUGAUUUCACUCGAAGCCGGAAUACUAAACUAGUUACCGUCCACAGUGGAAUCAGCGACUGGGGUGAAGUCGUAACAAGGUAACCGUAGGAGAACCUGCGGUUGGAUCACCUCCUUU